rnacentral:rRNA from 1 species
CUCCCUGGGUGGCGAGUGGCGGACGGGUGAGGAAUACGUCGGAAUCUGCCUUUUCGUGGGGGAUAACGUGGGGAAACCCACGCUAAUACCGCAUACGACCUACGGGUGAAAGCCGGGGACCUUCGGGCCUGGCGCGGAAAGAUGAGCCGACGUCGGAUUAGCUAGUUGGAGGGGUAACGGCCCACCAAGGCGACGAUCCGUAGCUGGUCUGAGAGGAUGAUCAGCCACACUGGGACUGAGACACGGCCCAGACUCCUACGGGAGGCAGCAGUGGGGAAUAUUGGACAAUGGGCGCAAGCCUGAUCCAGCCAUGCCGCGUGUGUGAAGAAGGCCUUCGGGUUGUAAAGCACUUUUGUACGGGAAGAAAAGCCAUGGGUUAAUACCCUGUGGCUCUGACGGUACCGUAAGAAUAAGCACCGGCUAACUUCGUGCCAGCAGCCGCGGUAAUACGAAGGGUGCAAGCGUUACUCGGAAUUACUGGGCGUAAAGCGUGCGUAGGUGGUCUGUCAAGUCCGAUGUGAAAGCCCUGGGCUCAACCUGGGAACUGCAUUGGAAACUGGCAGUCUGGAGUGCGGUAGAGGGUAGCGGAAUUCCCGGUGUAGCAGUGAAAUGCGUAGAUAUCGGGAGGAACAUCCGUGGCGAAGGCGGCU